AGGAAGGCAUCUUUGGUCGUUGUG
rnacentral:siRNA from 1 species